UGAGGAAUAUUGGUCAAUGGGCGCAAGCCUGAACCAGCCAUGCCGCGUGCAGGAUGAAGCAUCUAUGGUGUGUAAACUGCUUUUGUACGGGAAGAAACCACCCUUCGUGAGGGGUCUUGACGGUACCGUAAGAAUAAGGAUCGGCUAACUCCGUGCCAGCAGCCGCGGUAAUACGGAGGAUCCAAGCGUUAUCCGGAAUCAUUGGGUUUAAAGGGUCCGUAGGCGGUUUAAUAAGUCAGUGGUGAAAGCCCAUCGCUCAACGAUGGAACGGCCAUUGAUACUGCUAGACGUGAAUUAGUAGGGAGUAACUAGAAUAUGUAGUGUAGCGGUGAAAUGCUUAGAUAUUACAUGGAAUACCAAUUGCGAAGGCAGGUUACUACUAAUGGAUGGGCGCUGAUGGACGAAAGCGUGGGGAGCGAACA
rnacentral:rRNA from 1 species